AACGUAGGUGGCAAGCGUUAUCCGGAAUUACUGGGCGUAAAGGGUGUGCAGGCGGGGUUGCAAGUGGUGUUUGAAAUAUCCCAGCUUAACUGGGAGGGGUUAUGCCAGACUGCAACUCUAGAGGACGAGAGAGGGGGGUGGAAUUCCGGGUGUAGUGGUGAAAUGCGUAGAGAUCCGGAGGAACCCCAGAGGCGAAGGCGGCCCCCUGGCUCGUACCUGACGCUCAGACACGAAAGCAUGGGGAGCGAACGGG
rnacentral:rRNA from 1 species